rnacentral:rRNA from 1 species
CAGUAGCCGCGGUAAUACGAAGGGUGCAAGCGUUACUCGGAAUUACUGGGCGUAAAGCGUGCGUAGGUGGUGGUUUAAGUCCGUUGUGAAAGCCCUGGGCUCAUCCUGGGAAUUGCAGUGGAUACUGGGUCACUAGAGUGUGGUAGAGGAUAGUGGAAUUUCCGGUGUAGCAGUGAAAUGCGUAGAGAUCGGAAGGAACAUCUGUGGCGAAGGCGACUAUCUGGGCCAACACUGACACUGAGGCACGAAAGCGUGGGGAGCAAACAGGAUUAGAGACCCCCGUAGUCCCUGUCUCUUAUAC